rnacentral:rRNA from 1 species
AGUGAACGCUGGCGGUAGGCCUAACACAUGCAAGUCGAACGGCAGCACAGUAAGAGCUUGCUCUUACGGGUGGCGAGUGGCGGACGGGUGAGGAAUACAUCGGAAUCUACUUUUUCGUGGGGGAUAACGUAGGGAAACUUACGCUAAUACCGCAUACGACCUACGGGUGAAAGCAGGGGAUCUUCGGACCUUGCGCGAUUGAAUGAGCCGAUGUCGGAUUAGCUAGUUGGCGGGGUAAAGGCCCACCAAGGCGACGAUCCGUAGCUGGUCUGAGAGGCUGGUCAGCCACAUUGGAACUGAGACACGGUCCAGGCUCCUACGGGAGGCAGCAGUGGGGAAUAUUGGACAAUGGGCGCAAGCCUGAUACAGCCAUACCGCGUGGGUGAAGAAGGCCUUCGGGUUGUAAAGCCCUUUUGUUGGGAAAGAAAAGCAGCAGGUUAAUACCCCGCUGUUCUGACGGUACCCAAAGAAUAAGCACCGGCUAACUUCGUG